UACGUAGGGUGCGAGCGUUAAUCGGAAUUACUGGGCGUAAAGCGUGCGCAGGCGGUUCGUUGUGUCGGCGGUGAAAGCCCCGGGCUCAACCCUGGGGAAUGGCCGUUGAAACUGGCGAACUGGAGUGUGGCAGAGGGGGGUGGAAUUCCGCGUGUAGCAGUGAAAUGCGUAGAGAUGCGGAGGAACACCGAUGGCGAAGGCAGCCCCCUGGGCUGACACUGACGCUCAGGCACCGAAAGCGUGGGGAGCAAACAGG
rnacentral:rRNA from 1 species